ACGACUUUGGUGCAGAGUUAGUAACUGGAUAAUAUCAAAGCUAGAAUAAUGGCUGUCCUUCCCACAUGUUAGAAUAGAAGAUACUCUAGAACUGUAAAAGGUUAAAAAGGUAACCUGUAGUUUGUCCCAAGGUGCCUGCCCUCACCAGAGCAAGACCUCCACCUCCUCACCCAGAGCCCGACCUCCACCUCCUGUCAGAAGUCCUCCAGAACAGCUGAAUGGCGAGGCUGGGGACUGGAGGCUUGUGGUGGACCGGAGACUGAGGCUGGAGACCAGGGGCCUGCAGCACCGGACCAGAGGGCAACCAUCACCAAGCUCAUCUGAAGCUCUAAAAUCCACGGUUUCCAUGUCUGGAGGAGCUGAGCUGAUGGAGAUGCAGUGCUGAAGGAGCUGAUGGAGGAGCCGUGCUGCUGAUGGAGGAGCCGUGCAGAUGGAGGAGCCGUGCUGCUGAUGGAGGAGCCGUGCUGCUGAAGGAGCUGCCGUGCUGCUGAAGGAGCUGAUGGAGCAGUCGUGCUGAAGGCCCUGCCUGGUGAAGGACGCCUGACUUGGGGUAGAUGGAGCCUGAAUCUGAAACCAGGACUCUGUCUGAGAGCUGCUGAGAUGCUGGAGGCCGACUAGGAAUCGACCAACAAGGAUUCCUCAACGUGUUUCUGGAGCGGAGGCGAGUUGGCAGGGGAGCUGUGAAUCUGGAGGAUGACCAUCACUCUAACAACAAGGAUUGACUCUGGCUGAGGAGAGCUGAUGGAUGUGCCAAGACUCUGGAGGACGACAUCACUCUACCAUCCAGGAUCCUAACCAGGAAUCUGGAGGACUGAUGGAGAAGACGUACAUCUGGAAGGCAAAUCCUGAGGACAACCAGGACUCUACCAUCAAGGAUUCCUCAUAAGUUUGCAUUAUCUGGACAUAGUGGACUAGACGCACCUGAGCUGAACCCGCCCUGAUCCUGACAUCCUGCUGGUCCCGUCUCCUCAGUUCACCUGAGCCUCGUCCUCCAGAAGACC
ensembl:lncRNA